rnacentral:rRNA from 1 species
GGGUUGUGAGGUUAAGUGACUAAGCGUACACGGUGGAUGCCUAGGCAGUCAGAGGCGAUGAAGGGCGUGUUAAUCUGCGAUAAGCGUCGGUAAGGUGAUAUAAACCGUUAUAACCGGCGAUACCCGAAUGGGGAAACCCAGUGCAAUUCGUUGCACUAUCAUACGAUGAAUACAUAGUCGUAUGAGGCGAACCGGGGGAACUGAAACAUCUAAGUACCCCGAGGAAAAGAAAUCAACCGAGAUUCCCCCAGUAGCGGCGAGCGAACGGGGAGGAGCCCAGAACCUGAAUCAGUUCUUGUGUUAGUGGAAGCGUCUGGAAAGUCGCACAGUAAAGGGUGAUAGUCCCGUACACUAAAAUGCAUUAACUGUGAGUUCGAUGAGUAGGGCGGGACACGUGACAUCCUGUCUGAAUAUGGGGGGACCAUCCUCCAAGGCUAAAUACUCCUGACUGACCGAUAGUGAACCAGUACCGUGAGGGAAAGGCGAAAAGAACCCCGGCGAGGGGAGUGAAAUAGAACCUGAAACCGUGUACGUACAAGCAGUGGGAGCCUACUUUGUUGGGUGACUGCGUACCUUUUGUAUAAUGGGUCAGCGACUUAUAUUUUGUAGCAAGGUUAACCGUAUAGGGGAGCCGUAGGGAAACCGAGUCUUAACUGGGCGAAUAGUUGCAAGGUAUAGACCCGAAACCCGGUGAUCUAGCCAUGGGCAGGUUGAAGGUUGGGUAACACUAACUGGAGGACCGAACCGACUAAUGUUGAAAAAUUAGCGGAUGACUUGUGGCUGGGGGUGAAAGGCCAAUCAAACCGGGAGAUAGCUGGUUCUCCCCGAAAGCUAUUUAGGUAGCGCCUCGUGAACUCAUCUUCGGGGGUAGAGCACUGUUUCGGCUAGGGGGCCAUCCCGGCUUACCAAACCGAUGCAAACUCCGAAUACCGAAGAAUGUUAUCACGGGAGACACACGGCGGGUGCUAACGUCCGUCGUGAAGAGGGAAACAACCCAGACCGCCAGCUAAGGUCCCAAAGUCAUGGUUAAGUGGGAAACGAUGUGGGAAGGCAUAGACAGCCAGGAUGUUGGCUUAGAAGCAGCCAUCAUUUAAAGAAAGCGUAAUAGCUCACUGGUCGAGUCGGCCUGCGCGGAAGAUGUAACGGGGCUAAACCAUGCACCGAAGCUGCGGCAGCGACGCUUAGGCGUUGUUGGGUAGGGGAGCGUUCUGUAAGCCGUUGAAGGUGGUCUGUGAGGAUUGCUGGAGGUAUCAGAAGUGCGAAUGCUGACAUAAGUAACGAUAAAGCGGGUGAAAAACCCGCUCGCCGGAAGACCAAGGGUUCCUGUCCAACGUUAAUCGGGGCAGGGUGAGUCGACCCCUAAGGCGAGGCCGAAAGGCGUAGUCGAUGGGAAACAGGUUAAUAUUCCUGUACUCGGUGUUACUGCGAAGGGGGGACGGAGAAGGCUAGGCUAGCCGGGCGACGGUUGUCCCGGUUUAAGCGUGUAGGGGGAGUGACCUGGUAAAUCCGGUUAUUCAUUCAACCCUGAGGCGUGAUGACGAUGCACUACGGUGCAGAAGUAGUUGAUGCCAAGCUUCCAGGAAAAGCCUCUAAGCAUCAGGUAACACAGAAUCGUACCCCAAACCGACACAGGUGGUCAGGUAGAGAAUACCAAGGCGCUUGAGAGAACUCGGGUGAAGGAACUAGGCAAAAUGGUGCCGUAACUUCGGGAGAAGGCACGCUGGCGCGUAGGUGAAGAGACUUGCUCUCGGAGCCGAAGCCAGUCGCAGAUACCAGCUGGCUGCAACUGUUUAAUAAAAACACAGCACUGUGCAAACACGAAAGUGGACGUAUACGGUGUGACGCCUGCCCGGUGCUGGAAGGUUAAUUGAUGGGGUCAGCCGCAAGGCGAAGCUCUUGAUCGAAGCCCCAGUAAACGGCGGCCGUAACUAUAACGGUCCUAAGGUAGCGAAAUUCCUUGUCGGGUAAGUUCCGACCUGCACGAAUGGCGUAAUGAUGGCCAGGCUGUCUCCACCCGAGACUCAGUGAAAUUGAACUCGCUGUGAAGAUGCAGUGUACCCGCGGCAAGACGGAAAGACCCCGUGAACCUUUACUAUAGCUUGACACUGAACAUUGAGCCUUGAUGUGUAGGAUAGGUGGGAGGCUUUGAAGCGUGGACGCAAGUACACGUGGAGCCAACCUUGAAAUACCACCCUUUAAUGUUUGAUGUUCUAACUCGGCCCCAUAAUCUGGGGUGAGGACAGUGUCUGGUGGGUAGUUUGACUGGGGCGGUCUCCUCCCAAAGAGUAACGGAGGAGCACGAAGGUUAGCUAAUCACGGUCGGACAUCGUGAGGUUAGUGCAAAGGCAUAAGCUAGCUUGACUGCGAGAGUGACGGCUCGAGCAGGUACGAAAGUAGGUCUUAGUGAUCCGGUGGUUCUGAAUGGAAGGGCCAUCGCUCAACGGAUAAAAGGUACUCCGGGGAUAACAGGCUGAUACCGCCCAAGAGUUCAUAUCGACGGCGGUGUUUGGCACCUCGAUGUCGGCUCAUCACAUCCUGGGGCUGAAGUAGGUCCCAAGGGUAUGGCUGUUCGCCAUUUAAAGUGGUACGCGAGCUGGGUUUAGAACGUCGUGAGACAGUUCGGUCCCUAUCUGCCGUGGGCGUUGGAAGAUUGAGAGGGGUUGCUCCUAGUACGAGAGGACCGGAGUGAACGCACCACUGGUGUUCGGGUUGUCAUGCCAAUGGCAUUGCCCGGUAGCUAAGUGCGGAAAAGAUAAGCGCUGAAAGCAUCUAAGCGCGAAACUUGCCUCGAGAUGAGUCUUCCCUGGGAACUUGAUUCCCCUGAAGGAACGUUUAAGACUAAGACGUUGAUAGGCUGGGUGUGUAAGUGCAGCGAUGCAUUGAGCUAACCAGUACUAAUGAUCCGUGAGACUUAACCUUACAACACCAAAAGUGUUUUG